rfam:Salmo salar isolate Sally breed double haploid chromosome ssa16, whole genome shotgun sequence.
AAUGCACCAAUUUGUAAGUCGCUCUGGAUAAGAGCUUCUGCUAAAUGACGUAAA